GCAAGAAUACCAAGGACAGUUACAAAACGCAAAUAUAAAAAAAAACGUAUAUAAACUAAUUGAUGAAAGGAGUGCAUAUUAUUCUGUACUAUAUGGAUGGCAAAAAAUAUGGUACCAAUGUGUUGUUACUUGGGAAGAUAAAAAAUUAAUAGAACAGUUAUUAUGUAUAAUUCAAUGUGAGUUACUUUAUCAUUUAAUAGGUUCUAUUGGUCAGAGUGUGUCAAAAAUAAGAGUCCCAGUAGAUGAUUACUAUGCAAUUUCACCUUCUGUUCAUGUAGCACAUUGGAUGUUAGAUACGUUUGUUAGGCAUCCUUUAUGUCCUUCUAAAAUAAGAUCUUCUUGUAUUACUCCUAUCACUGUUACUUCAUUAUUUGGUUUGAUUAUGAAGGGUACUCGAUUACCUAUUUUUUUAGGUAUAGAUGUAAGUAGAUUAAUAUACUGGUUUUGUAUUGUUCAUAUAUUACAAAACAGUAAAUUGGACAAUAAUUAUAAAAAAUUAAAAAAUAUAGAUAUGUUUACCCAGUUUGGCAUUAACCUAGAACAUGAAAAUACGUUAUAUGAAGAGGAGGCUUUUCUUGAUGACUUUGGUUCCAAAAUCAAACAUAAUGAUUAUAUUAAAAAAGAAGAAAAAAAAAAAAUAUAUUAUAUGAACAAAAAAAAUGGAAGCAUGAACGGUAAUUAUUAUCAAUUUUUAAACUAUAUUUUUAAAUGUGUAAAUAUUUGCGGAACUUCUAUUUUUAACCAAAUAUCGACCUUUUGUAAAGAGCAAAGUAUAAAUAAAAAGAAGACCAAUAAUAAUAGUUCUAAUAAUAAUGCAGUUGAAGGGGAAAGAGAGGAUGAUGGAACUGGGCAGGCGAACGAAAACAAUGAAAUCGGAAACAACAACGGUAGUAACAAUGACAACGGAACCGGUAACGACAAUGACAUCAACAACGACGACGCUGGGAACAACGACAACGAAAAUGUCAACGAAAACAACGACAAUAUCAACACAAACAACGACAAUACCAACACAAACAACGACAAUGUUGCGAACAACAACGUCAGGAACAACAACUACUCAAACGUUAUAGACCAUUUAAACACAAACGUUUAUGACAUACAGAAUUGCAUAGAUCAUCUAAGCGGUAACAAUCAUAUUCCAAAUACGGACUUAAUCGAAGGUAAUGGUAGUUUAAGCGAUGAAACUAUGUACAAUUUAAACGAUAAUAAUGCCACGAACCCUAAUAUAUCUUCCACUAAUAUAAAUACCUUUCAAGAAAACACCGAACUUGAUAAUAACAGUAAUCGACUAUCAAAUGUCAACGAAAGCAGUUGUAAUGGUUUAUGUACAAACUCGGAUAGUAUAAUUGCAAAAAGCAACAAAAGGUUAUCAAGUGAGCUUUCAAAUUUUGAUUUGUUUGAUGAUAAUGAAAAUAGUACUCACAACCCUUUGAAAAUUAAUGUUUCUUUACUCAUUCAUUAUUUUGCAUGUGCCGCAUAUUAUAUAAAAAAAAUAGAUAUAUAUAAUAGUAUAAAAUUUUAUGAUGGACACAUUCAUAGUUAUUUUAAAAAUUAUUGUUUAUUUGUAAGUGUUGUUGAUCAUGUAGCCAAAUUAUAUUCCAAAUGUAGCUUGAGAAAAAAUGUUUAUAAUAAAAAUAAAUCUAUUAAAAAUGAACAUACAAAUGAAAAUAAUGUUGACACUUUUACUGUAGCUAGUGAAUACAAAAAAACACAAGGAUUAAGAAACAUUACCAUUAAUAACAAUAAUAAAAAUGGUUCAGUACAUUUUCAGAACUAUGAAAUGAAUAAGAGUAGUAUAUCGAUAAUAAAUGAGCAAAAUAAACAUACAUUAUUAAUAGAAAAUGGUACUAAUAGUGCCGAUGAUACAGUAUAUACAAAAAAUAAACACUGCUUUGAUGAUAAUUAUGUGGGCCAUUAUCCUGAAAUGUUUGUAGAUAGUGUACUUAAAUUGCAAAAAAGAGUUUUGGCUACAGUUGUAAUAGACGUUAAUAAAAAGAUUCACCAUGUAUGUGCACCUAAUGUAAAUAAACUAAAAUUAAAAAUAAAUAAUAUAUUUUCAAUGCUAAAUGGUCAAACAAUAUAUGAAAC
rnacentral:lncRNA from 1 species